ensembl:antisense Hoxb5os homeobox B5 and homeobox B6, opposite strand
AUGUCAUAGCGACUUUUGGGGUAGUUUGCUUUCGGCAAAGGGGGACAAAGUCAUGGGGUGAGAGGGAAGGAGGACCCAAAACAGCCUCCAAGACCCUCACCAUCUCUUCACCGGCUCCCCCUCCCCCCCCACAGGUCCUGUAAGAAGUUGGGCCCAGCUGGAAGGGAUUGACCGACGCCUCUUCGCCCUAGGCUGGCCUCUGCGGAGAUUCCAGGCCCCACAGAGACCAGGACUUCCCUCAGCGCCACCGCCCCUCGUGCCAAUGCAGCCGGGAAAUCGCCAUUACCCACACUGGGCAAGAGAAACCGCACGGGGGCAAUCGGAGAGGCCAGGAAAAGGGAGAGAUGGAGGGAGAAGGUUCCAGGUUGGCCAUACUCAGGAGCAGGCCGAACGGCCCAGAGGAAGCCCUGGCGGCCGGUGCUACCAGGCUCACUGCGGACGCACCCCAGCCCGGUAAACUCACUGUCGCUCACCGGGACUGGUUUUCCUUCAAUUUUAAAAUUUCAUGUGGAUCGCCCAUGCCAAUUUAGAUUUAAAUACAUAAAGUAAAAAUAAAUUGAAAUAAAAGCAAGGCAUCUGAUGAAAA